UGAAUUUCCCGAAACCCUAGAAAUCUAAUUUCGAUUUCAAUUCAGUCAAAUUCCUGCAGUUGAUUCGUUGAUGAUGGCCCACGGAAAAGUCAGUCUCACUCAAGAACUCCUCCCCUCGCCGAUCUUCUCCACCACCAAAGACUCGGAGAUGGCACUAAGGGAAGAGUUCGAGAUGAACGUCGCAGGAUCUUGAGAGGUGGAGCCUUCGAUCAGUCAGAUCCUUGGAAAGAUUGACAGGUUCACUGAGAUUGUGAGUGUUUUCGGUUCUUGUGGAUCCGCAAUUUUGAUUUGUUGAGUUCAUGUGAUGUUUAGAAGGCUGAAGAAAGGCUGAAGAAUCAGGUUGGUCGAUUCAUUUUAAGUCAUUUUUCAUUUUGAUUUUACAGUAUGUGCGUUUGAUAAUUAAAUAGAAAAGAAACGGGUACGACCUAUGGUGUGGUCACAAUUGUUGUCAAGCAAGAACAAUUGGCUUAAUUGAAUUGACGAAUUGAUUUUCUUGUAAGAUUAGCAAUUUGUUUGGAACACAGAUGUAUGGGCGUAAUGUUGAUUUUUCUGGGUGGGUGAAUUCGUAGUAGGAGGCGAAUAUGCCUUUCAUCUCCAUUUCAUGUUCAUCACAUCUUUGCACUGCUGGAUUCCUUUGGAAGAUUGUAUGUGUUCAAGUGUGGUACAGUGCCCUCUUUGGCCUCGAAUGCGAUUGCAGGAAAAAGCAAUGUUUGGUGCCUCUAUCCCAACAAAAAUGUUGUGUUACAGGAUGUCUUUGGCCAAUAAUCUUCAGCUGAUCUGGAAGCUAAAUUGACCAAGGUAUUAUUGUUUCAGUGCUAUGUUUAUGGGUGUUCUGUAUGAGGGGUAUUUGCUAAGUACAACUCUUGCUAGUCGUGUUUUUUUAAUGGCACAUAAAAAAAAAUUCUAAUAUCAAUGUGCUUCUUACAUGGUGAUCCCAUUACAUUUCCCGAAGAAGAGCCAUAACUAGCGCUAGCUUUCGAAAUAAAUAAGAGCGUAUCUAUUGGGUUUUUUUUUUUUUUGGUCACCAUUGAAAA